CUGACAUUUCAGAGCCAGCCAAGGCUUAAGACAUCAGGGUGGUCACAUGGAGAAUGUGCCCAGGAAAAGGAACCC